GUUUACUGGAGUGAUAUUUGUGGAUGAAGCAACGAAAGAAAAAGCGGCAUUUAACAAGAGUGGUCCAGCUGUUACUUUUUCUGGUAAUUAUAAUAAGAAGGCCGAUGCAUUUGGUUUGUGGACCGCACAAGGUGUUGCGUCAACAGAUUUUGAAUAUCAAAUGUUAAUUUGUGAUACAGAUUUCUACAAGGGCCUCCAUUUUUCUGGGUAUACAGCUGGCUGCUACAAGCAUUGUAAUAGCUGGUGUAAUGACAGAUCUUCUCCAUACUUUCGCACAUCUGCAGUCUCACGCGCGAGUUACCAAGGUGUUGCUUUCAACGAAAAUGGUCAUGCACCGACGUCAAAGCGUGUCAUCUGUGUAGGAAUUCGUUAACUACUAAACUAAAACGAGAAAAGAACUCCACAAAACUUUCGAGUAUUUAACUUAAAAAUCACACCAGAGGCAGAGGCAAAUUUACGUGAACUAAACUUUAAGCUUUAGCUGGUAAUUGUCCAUAUUCCAUCCUUUUGUUAAUAAUUAUUUAAAUUUAGUCUAGUUUUGUAGUAUAUGUGUAUAUUUAACAAUUAGCCUAUAC